UAGGGAAUCUUCCACAAUGGGCGAAAGCCUGAUGGAGCAACGCCGCGUGUGUGAUGAAGGCUUUAGGGUCGUAAAGCACUGUUGUAUGGGAAGAAAUGCUAGAAUAGGGAAUGAUUCUAGUUCGACGGUACCAUACCAGAAAGGGACGGCUAAAUACGUGCCAGCAGCCGCGGUAAUACGUAUGUCCCGAGCGUUAUCCGGAUUUAUUGGGCGUAAAGCGAGCGCAGACGGUUGAUUAAGUCUGAUGUGAAAGCCCGGAGCUCAACUCCGGAAUGGCAUUGGAAACUGGUUAACUUGAGUGUUGUAGAGGUAAGUGGAACUCCAUGUGCAGCGGUGGAAUGCGUAGAUAUAUGGAAGAACACCAGUGGCGAAGGCGGCUUACUGGACAACAACUGACGUUGAGGCUCGAAAGUGUGGGUAGCAAACAGGAUUAGAUACCCUGGUAGUCCACACCGUAAACGAUGAAUACUAGGUGUUAGGAGGUUUCCGCCUCUUAGUGCCGAAGCUAACGCAUUAAGUAUUCCGCCUGGGGAGUACGACCGCAAGGUUG
rnacentral:rRNA from 1 species